rnacentral:rRNA from 1 species
AGCGGCGGACGGGUGAGUAACGCGUGGGUAACCUGCCCUAUACACACGGAUAACAUACCGAAAGGUAUGCUAAUACGAGAUAAUAUAAGAGAUUCACAUGGAUUUCUUAUCAAAGCUGAGGCGGUAUAGGAUGGACCCACGUCUGAUUAGCUAGUUGGUAAGGUAACGGCUUACCAAGGCGACGAUCAGUAGCCGACCUGAGAGGGUGAUCGGCCACAUUGGAACUGAGACACGGUCCAAACUCCUACGGGAGGCAGCAGUGGGGAAUAUUGCACAAUGGGCGAAAGCCUGAUGCAGCAACGCCGCGUGAGUGAUGAAGGCCUUCGGGUCGUAAAACUCUGUCCUCAAGGAAGAUAAUGACGGUACUUGAGGAGGAAGCCCCGGCUAACUACGUGCCAGCAGCCGCGGUAAUACGUAGGGGGCUAGCGUUAUCCGGAUUUACUGGGCGUAAAGGGUGCGUAGGUGGUCUCUUAAGUCAGGAGUGAAAGGCUACGGCUUAACCGUAGUAAGCUCUUGAAACUGGGAGACUUGAGUGCAGGAGAGGAAAGUGGAAUUCCUAGUGUAGCGGUGAAAUGCGUAGAUAUUAGGAGGAACACCAGUAGCGAAGGCGGCUUUCUGGACUGUAACUGACACUGAGGCACGAAAGCGUGGGGAGCAAACAGGAUUAGAUACCCUGGUAGUCCACGCCGUAAACGAUGAGUACUAGGUGU